AAUUGCAAGUUCAGAACUUGUGACUCGUUUUGUUCAUCAUUUGGCAGUUGGAGUGAAUGUGUUGCUUUUUUCAUGGGUUUCUUCUGGGAACUUUUCCACCAUUUUUUGUUCUUAGAUUUCUUAUUCCAGCUCUAGAUUUCAGUAUGUAUUUGUGUGAGUGUCUUUCUUGAUGUGGAUUGCUGUCAGGUCGCAUUAUUUGCAUGGAUAGUUGGGCAGACACUGUUCCUUUAGCUUGUACCUUGUAGCCCUGCAAUGGUCAUGGUCAGUGUUGAUGCCCUGGCUACUUUUGUGAAUAUCAAUUUUAUAGAUAAUAAUUUUGCAAAGAUCAUAUGCUAUUGAUUCCUCUCGUUCCAUCCACUAGGAGGUAAAAUAGCUAAGCACACAUUGUCCAAUCCCCAACUCUAUUAUUAGUACAUAGGUUUCCAGUUCUUGUCAAUCAAAAUCCAUGAAAUGAGCAAUAAUGAGCAUGCGGGGCACCGUAAAAUGUGAACCCUUCUCUGUAGAUGAAUUUCUGGAUGGUCCAAAUGAAAAGUGUGUUAUUAUGCUUGAUGUCCAUUCCGUUACUAUCGUGGAUGGUGCAAAAAAGAUAUUAUCAGUGACAUUGCUGUUUAUUAUACAAAAAUUCAGUUUACUUUGCUCUGUUUCGACAACAGGUGUAGGGCCACAAAAUGGUGGAAUAAGCCUUGUGUUGACUUUUGCCUUGAUGAAAUUGUAAAUGACCCAUUUGAGGUGUUCUUAUGCUUAUUGUCCGUUUUAAAUGACCUAUAAUAUGCUUGUGAUGCUCUGCUAGCCACUGAACCUGCAGGCUAUAUGGCCGACAUCGUUGAUGUCUUAAUUUUUAAACUUCAGUCAAAGAUAUGCUACCAUAGGGAUGCAAAUGUCGACUACCUGGAAAUCAAGGCUAUGAUUGAUAAACUCAUAGAAGAGAACAAAAAGUUCCGGGAUGAGAAAGUGGAAUACCUGGAUAUGAUUAAUAUGGUCAUAGAUGAGAAGAAGAAUUUGGUGGAUGGUUAUCAAGUAAUCAAGGAUCAGGUGGCAUCAAUGGAGAAGCAGCUUGUAACUGUAAAGAAUGAGCUUGCGGCCGCGAAACAUGAACUUGUUGAGGCAAAAGAGCAACUUGUAGCGGAAAAACAUGAACAUGAGGCGGCAAACCAUGAGAAUGUGGUGGCAAAGGAGGAGCUUGUGGUGGGAGAAGAGAAACUUUCUCAAAAGAACGAAGAGCUGGAUGUUUUAAGGAAGAGGCUUCAGGAGACUCAAGCCAUGCACACUCAGCUUCUGCAACAGAAAGGAAGUGCUCCUGGUCCUGAGCCUGUACCUUCGAGAAGGGUAACAAGGUCAACACAUAAACGGGAAAUGCUGCUCCAAGGACCAUUGGUAAAUGAUUCUGACAGAAAUCGCCUAAAGAAACGCAAGUCCUAUCCACAACUGCUUAAUUACCCGGUCAUUGUCCAGAGGGCAAGCCGAGGCAAUGACUUGGAGCCUUGGAGGUGGUCAGGCAAAUGCUGAUCAAGGGGUUCACUGAAAUUGAUGCUGCCUCGCAUCUUGGGAUAAAGGAAAUGGGAAAAUUAAGUGAGAAGCCGUUCCUGGAUGCUUGUGCUAUGAAACUGCCUCCUAGUCAAUCUGGGGCGAAAGCUUCUGAACUUUACAACCUGUGGCUGGAGCUGCUCAAUAACCCAGAAUGGAAGCCCUUCAAGACAGUCACAGUUGAUGGCAACCUUCAGGAGGAGGUCAUAGAUGUUGAUGAUGAUAAGCUGCAAGAGCUGAAGAUGGCAUGGGGAGAAGGCCCCUACAAUUCUGUCAUUGGUGCAUUGGUGGAGAGAAAACAGUACAACACCGACGGAACAGAGCGUGCCGUUGAUUUUUGGAACUACAAGGAAGGGAGGAAGGCCACAGUUGAGGAGUGUGUUGAGUAUAUCUUAGACCAACUGAAGGAACUCAAACAGCUCCGUAGGACAUACUGACAUACAGCCGUCUCGCUGAUUCUGCUGUAAGUGUAUUGUCUGACAUGAGCAUGCCAACACUACAUGAAGUUUGCCCUGACUCCUGAAUCUCCUGAUUGGAGCAUAGGAACGGUUUGGUCACUGCUUUUUGGUUUAAGAUUUAAGUAUUUCAUCUUCUAAAACAUCAAACUGGUACUUAUUACCAAAUGUGCCAAAUACCUUGUAUUGUCAGCGGUACAAAGAUGAAAAAAUCUGACAGAUAUUGGGGUUUUGUAA